rnacentral:lncRNA from 1 species
AACUUUACUUGAACUAGAUGAUUAAGUUUAAUUAAACCUCUGAACCACUCACUCGAUCUGAUUUGAUAUCCGGUCCGGUUAAAAAAAACUUAAUUUUCCACUAUAAAAUGUAGUGAGAGUGAGUCCUUUUCACUACCAACUUUCUCAAAUUUCUCUGUUCCCCAUCGGAAAUCCCUCUUCGCCGGAGAAAUGGCAUCGCUACAACAAUUACUAAACCCUCCCAACAUCCCCUGCCGCCACCGUACCUCUGCCUCACUCCUCCUCUCCAACCCAAACAAAAACUUCCUCCGCCAGCCGUUUCCUCAAUCAACCGUCGCCAUCCGCCGCCGCCACAUCCAACUCAAUCACCACAAUUCCCUCUUUUCAUCUCCCCACUCCAUGAUCAAAAGAAACCACCCUCCAAUUCAAGCUUUCGAUUCAACCGAAACAGAGGUCAUCACCAUCGAUUCCAACGACGGCGCCGUCGCCGUCCCUCCACCGGCAGCUGCACCAACCAG